rnacentral:rRNA from 2 species
CGUAUCACCCAAGACAACUUUACGGAGUUGACGAUUGACGGAGCGAAGCGACGUCAAAGCGUUCAUUAAAGUCGAGUUGGCUUAGGGAUACGUUCGUUGGGUAGGGGAGCGUUCUGUAAGCCUGUGAAGGUGUGUCGUGAGGCAUGCUGGAGGUAUCAGAAGUGCGAAUGCUGACAUAAGUAACGAUAAAGCGGGUGAAAAGCCCGCUCGCCGGAAGACCAAGGGUUCCUGUCCAACGUUAAUCGGGGCAGGGUGAGUCGACCCCUAAGGCGAGGCCGAAAGGCGUAGUCGAUGGGAAACGGGUUAAUAUUCCCGUACUUGGUGUUACUGCGAAGGGGGGACGGAGAAGGCUAUGUUGGCCGGGCGACGGUUGUCCCGGUUUAAGCGUGUAGGUGUGUGUUCCAGGUAAAUCCGGUUCACUUUAACACUGAGGCGUGACGACGAGGCACUACGGUGCUGAAGCAACAAAUGCCCUGCUUC